rnacentral:rRNA from 1 species
GACGAACGCUGGCGGCGUGCUUAACACAUGCAAGUCGAGCGGUAAGGCCCUUCGGGGUACACGAGCGGCGAACGGGUGAGUAACACGUGGGUGACCUGCCUCUAGCUCUGGGAUAAGCCUGGGAAACUGGGUCUAAUACCGGAUAUGACUCCACGGCGCAUGUUGUGGGGUGGAAAGCCUUGUGUGGCUAGAGAUGGGCCCGCGGCCUAUCAGCUUGUUGGUGGGGUGAUGGCCACCAAGGCGACGACGGGUAGCCGGCCUGAGAGGGCGACCGGCCACACUGGGACUGAGACACGGCCCAGACUCCUACGGGAGGCAGCAGUGGGGAAUCUUGCGCAAUGGGCGAAAGCCUGACGCAGCGACGCCGCGUGAGGGAUGACGGCCUCGG